AAAUACUGGUACAAGCAUUUAAUCCCAGAAUUUGGGAGGCAGAGGCAGGUGGAUUGCUUUAAGUUCAAGGCCUGAAGAAUUUCAGGACAGCCAGUGCUAUGUAGAGAAACCCUGUCUCAUAAAACAAAACAAAAACCUUACAAGUAAAUAAAAAUAUUAUACUCCAAAAUUAACCAGACCCACAGACUGUACAAGUCAAUAAAUCUCUAUACAGUUAGAAUAUGCAUUUAGAAUGGAAGCUGUGGAGCUUCACAUUAAAUUGUACACUUGCAAUAUCAAUAGUUUAUGCAGUGUUGUCUUUGGUGGUGGAAAAAUGUUUUUAAUUUUCCAAUUAAUUAAUUAAUUAAUUAACUUUCUUGUCCACACAUUUGUACCGCAGUCAGAGAACAACUUGGGAGAGCUGGUUCUCUCCAUCAGUGUGGGCUCCAGGGAAUUCACCUGAACUCAUUAGGUUUGAUGGUGUGUCUCUUACCCACUGAGUCAUCCUUACUGCCAUGGAUUUGUGUUUCUAAGAACUGAAGACAUUGGGACUAGGGUUAGUUGCAGUCAACUAAGUCAUCUUAAUCACUGAGACAGGAUUUAUCUUUGUAGCCUUGCCUAAACUAGAACUCAGUUUGUAGACCAGGCUGGCUUCAAACUCAGAAAUAUCAGCCCACCUCUGCCUCUCCAGCUCUGGGAUCAAAGCAGCAAGCCACUCUGCGAUGACUUUAAUCACUGAAUUUAAACUGAAUAACAAAGACUGUUUUCCUGCCAGUGUAGGUAGGAUAAACACAGCACAGACUCUUAAAUUGCCUUUCAGUUCAUAACUGAGCCUGUUUCCACGUCUGUAACUGUACUUUGUAAUGCACUGCCAUUUUCUUGACCAUAGUGAAUUUAGUUGAGGUAAGAAAAUGCUUUAAGUUAGAAAUGGAGAAGAUUACAUUGAUACUGUAUUUGACUUCUUGGAUACAGUGUCUUUGUUUUAAUGUGUAGAGUAUUUGCAUAAAAAACAUCUUUUUUUUCCCCCUCUUAGAUUCUUCAUCUGCUCUAGGGGCUGUCCUUCAUUUGACAUCUUAAUCGGGAUUUCAGUGUCUUGAGUGUUCUCUCCUACAUUAAUUGAAAGGAUGACAAGGGUGAAAAAUAAGCAGUAGGAACUGAUGGGUCCUGGGAACCACUGAUACUGUUUCCAUGCAAAUAUCUGCCCUGAUGAAGAUGAUGAGAUGAAAAAUGCAAAAAAUAUUUAGCCUCAAAGCAUAACUGUCAGUUCACAGUAUCCUUAAGUGUUAGUACAUGAAUAACAAGAACCUUGUAGUGCUGAUGAUAACUAGAUUGUAUCUUUUGAAAGGUGAGCCUUACCCUACACUUUGAUUUGAUACAUGGUUAUCUGUCAGAUAACCCUUUUGGAGUACAGGUUUUAGAAUACAAUAACUUCUUUGUGUAGAUUCGUUUCAUUUUUACGGUACUGUUGCCAUUCUUGGGAUGUGUUAUAUUUGUUUUAGCUCUUGGACUAAAUGUAAUUUUUUAAGAUAACAGUCAUUUUUGAGGCUGCCUUUGUAUGUAGUCUAAAUGCAGAAAGCAUUUAGAAAGUUUGCAGUGUGUAAAUGUUUGCUGGUGGAAUAAAGGAAUGGCCAGUUGUUGAUACCCUGAGAGGAAUGACACAGUUAUCUAAUGAAGCUCAUUCCUUAAAACUCAAAGGAUGAAAGCUUCUGAAAAUUGUUCUAGUAUUAAGUAAUUGGUGUUUUAAUGAUGAGGAGUAGUGUUUGUAGAUCUUGUGAUACACACACACAGACACACACACACACAGACACACACACAUACACACACACACACACAACACAUUCAUUAUCUUAGUUAGAAAUUUCACCACAGUGGUGAAUAGAAGUGGUAAGAAUAGAUGUCCUUUUUGUCUUUCUGAUCUUGGGCAGAAAGCAUUUAGUAUGGUGUUAAAGACUGGUGAGUUCAUAGAUAAUUUUUAAUCAUGCAUGUUCGUUUAGCAGUUUGAGUGAGAUUGUUAUUUGGCUAGAUUCUUAGAGUUUUAAAAAGCAACAUUUUAUGUAAAAACAAUAAUUGAGACUUCAUUUUGAACUUGCAAAGGAUUUAUUUCAUUUUUAACUGCAUAUAUGUGUGCAUGCAUGCUUCUGAGUGCCCAAGGAGGCCAGAAGCAGCCGCUGCCCCAGAACUGCUGUCACUGGUCAUGGUGAGCCACCUGCUACGGGAACUGGAAACCAAAUCAUAUCCUAUACAAGUAAUGUAUGCUGAGUUCUUUACUACUGAGGUAUCUGGCCAGCCCACAUUUAAACCUGUUACUUCACUCAAUUAAUUACAUUGUUGAAGUUUGUACCAAUGUAUGGUAUAAAGUGGUUGUACCAAAGAAAAAACCAAUGUUUCCAAACUCUUCUAUUAGUACCCUGUGUGCAUGUGUUUUUGAAAAGUAGCUAACUAUAUUGAGAAAUUAUUCUCCUCCUACAUACUUUGCUUAUGGGACAGGAUAUUGCUUUGUAUAGCCAGACUGGCUUUGAACUCAAGGUAGUUUUCCUACUUCCGCUUCCCAGGUAUUAGGAUUCAGAGGCAUGGACCACAGUGUCUAUCUAGCUCUAAGGACAGUUAGCCCUGUUGAAUUCAAGUUUUAAUCUGUGAUUAAAGGAGGCUAACUGUGACUCUACACUCUAGGAUUACUUCUUUGGUGUCAAGGUUUCUUGUCUGGCUUUUAUAAUAUGACCUAUUCAAUACUGGCUGUACUGUGUCUGUGUCCUUGGUGAAAAGGAAAAAAAAAAUCAUCUCGUAUCUCACCUCUAGAUGGCAGCAUAGGUCUUACAGUCCUUCUAAAUCUGCCAUACUGCUUGAACUGGGCUUUUGAUUUAGGGAAAGCAGGUUUUAAAAAAUUAUUUGUUUGUUUGUUUGUUUGUUUAUUUAUUUAUUUAUUUAUUUAAUGUAUAUGAGUACACUGUAGCUGUGCAGAUGGUUGUGAGCCAUCAUGUGGUUGCUGGGAAUUGAACUCAGGACUUUUGCUCGCUCCGGCCCUGUUUGCUCUAGCCAGUAAAGCAGUUUUUGUGGGGUUUAUCGGACUGUUUGUCUAACUUUUUCCUUUUUUUCUUUUUCUUUUCAUUCAUUCCUUUUUUUUCAUUGCUCCAUCUCAUUUUUUAAAACUCAUUUCCCUUUUGAAAUAAUGUAUAUUUUCGAUGCUCAGAGUCCUUUAGUUUUUUUAUUAUCCAAAGUAGUAUUUUGUACUGAAUUGCAGAGGUUGGAUCGUCAACAUUCUAAAGGUGUGAUUGUUCAGUUCCAUUCUCAUCCUUGGAUAAAGGCUCUAAGAAUGGGCUCGCCUGGGUGCCUCUCUUACUGUAGUCUGUAGUCUGUCUUGCAGUCUUAGACUCGGCUGUGUUAUUCUGCACUAUCAGGCAAUGCCAUGUUAAAUGAAAACAAGAAUUGAUAAAAUAAAAAAUAAAAAAUUGAUAGAAUAAACUUGGGCUAGUUGUCCUUAAGAAAAAUUAAAGUAUUUUAAAAUAAGGUUUUUAAACAUUAAGUCAUUUUGAAUGAUCUGAUGAAAGAAAGGAAGAAAGAAAGAAAGAGAGAGAAAAGAAGUCCCAUUCAGCAGCUAUUGAUGUCACACAGGCUCUGGAGGGACAUGAGGCUGAAUAAAAUACCAUCACUUCACUGUGCACAUUCAAAUCUAUGAGGGAGGGGAGAGGUGGUAAGUAAUAACUCUUAAUAGACCUUAGAGAGAUGAGUUCUGUAAGAAAACAAAGAAGUCAUUGUUUUGGAGAGAAGAGGGCAGUGUAAGCUGCUACAGGAAGAGCAAAUAUGCUUCCUUUUAUGUCAGUAUAAAUUGAUCAGUAAGGCCUGUCUAGAACCACUGAAUUGAGGAUUCUGAUUUCUGAGAAGUCAGUUUAAAGGUUUAUUUAUUACAUGUGAGUACACUAUAGCUGUCUUCAGAUGCUCCAGAAGAGGGCAUCAGAUCUCAUUACAGAUGGUUGUGAGCCACCAUGUGGUUGCUGGGAUUUGAACUCAGGACCUUUGGGAGAGCAGACAGUGCAAGGCUGAGCCAUCUUUCCAGCUCCUAGAGAAGUCAGAUACUCAGUUACUGAUGUCUGCCCCAGGCAAGAAAAAGGAACAUUGUAGCACUGUUUGAAACAUUGAGAAUAAUAGACUCACUGGGUGGAGACGGUCCAUACCUUUAUGAUUCUCUGGAUUUUAGGCCAGCUUGGACUACAGAGCAAAUUUCAGGACAGCCAGGACGACACAGAGAAGCUCUGAGUUUUGAGGUUUUUGGAGGGUGGGGGUAAGACUUGAGGAGAUGGCUCAGUGGAUAAGAGCACUUGUUGAAUAAACAUCCCCAGCUCCCACAUAAAAAAACCAGGCUCAGCCAUGUGUGUCUGUAACCCCAGUAUUACGUUAUAGGAACAGGAGAUACUGGAAUUCUCUGUUCCCUCAGUGGCCAGCGUCAUGUUCCCUGCACACUGUGUGAAGAGAAUAAUAAAGUGGAGUAUUGUAGCUGGUCUGUGCCACUUUGUGGGUUCUUCUCCCCCCGCCCAUUUCUUCUCUAGCACUAGAUAGGAGAGGGAGACUUUCGGAAGAGCAGUCAGUGCUUUUACCUGGUGAGCCAUCUUGCCAGCCCCCGAAAGCACAUUCUUAUAAUAUCUCUGUGUUUUU
rnacentral:lncRNA from 1 species